rfam:Rhodobacteraceae bacterium HLTCCO18 ITZY_scaf_355, whole genome shotgun sequence.
GGGCCCGUAGCUCAGUGGUAGAGCAGUUGACUUUUAAUCAAUUGGUCGAAGGUUCGAAUCCUUCCGGGCUCA